rnacentral:lncRNA from 1 species
CGCCAUAUAUUGUCUCAACAUCCUUACCUCUUCAACCAACCCAUUGCCUUGUUCAACCAAUUGCAUUUGGGUACCAGUAUCAACCGACUCGAUUCCGUUGCUGUCUGCCAUUGCCUUUCGACCUUAUGUUGUAGAGAAGAGUUACCACUUUAAGAACCACAAACCAACCACCUUUCUGCUAUGAAGAUAUCAAAAGGAACAAAACGGGGUCAUCCCGUUAGCGUUAAGGCAUUUAACAGCAAAAAUAUCACCUUGCGUGCAAUGCACCUAGCAACAAUUAAUGGUUCUAGAAUGACUUCGAGGGUCAUAAGGUCACUUGGUAUCAUCCCAAUUUUGUUCAUUUCAAUCUUCUCUUUUCUUUCUUUUCUAACACUUCUUGGCUCGCUCAUUUUCUUUCCCUUUUUUUCUUUCUGAUUAUCGCUCUUUUCUUUCCUCUCAUUUCUCAUAUCCCCUAAUUUCAUCUCUCUUUUUUUCUUUUUCCUCUCUUUUUUUUUCUUUGCCUUUUUUCCUUUUUCUUUUAAAAUAAAAAAAAUGAUUCGAUCGAACCCUAUGUAGGUUGCCUACAUAUCAUGAUGCUGCAUGAAUCAGAUCUUUGAGUAGUUCUGGAAAAUCGAGAAUAAAGUGAACAAACUAACUUUCUCAUCAUUUUUUUUCUUAAUGACUACUCUGAGAGAUAAGGGAAAUAAAAGAAACAAAUCUCUCUGUCUUUUCUAUUUUUUUCUAGACUUAAUGUUUUAUAACCUAUUCUAAACUCAGGCUUAACGGAUUUUUUUCUCUUUUUUUUGACACAAAUUCUCUAUUAAGGAAAAAUUCCUAGAAGAGAAAAAUAUUUUUUGACUUUUUUUAGGAAGGAAAUCAUGUCGUUCUCUUUUUCUUCUAUGUAUAAUGUCCUAAAGUUCUAAUAAAAAUAAAAGAAUUAGUUUCCAAAAGAAGAACCUCAAAAGAAAAUCUUUUUGGAAUUUUGAAAUUAAUACCUUAAAGAAAACCCUUUAAAGGGGUACUAAAGAAAAUUCUCUUUUUUAAAAAAAAAUUUUUAGUCCUAAUAUACUAAAGGACAUAUGAACGCAAAAAAUUCCUAUUUGGAGUUCUAGAUAUUAAUUUCCUAAGGAGAAACACCUCAAAAGAUUUUUUUUUUUAAUUCUAGAAUUGGUUUUCUAAAGAAAACUUUCAAAAGAAAUAAAAACGCAAAGUCUCUUUUUUUGGAUUUUUGAUUUAUAACACACUUUUUUUUUCAAUAGAAAAAUAGAAAAUACAAUAAUCAAAGACAUCGACAUUACUUUACAAAGCUAGAAGAUAAAAGACAACAAAAGAAAAAUAGACUCAAAACAUCAAAAGAAAAAUCACCUACAUGACCGAUCCUGACUAGUUGUCCUGGGCUAUAUCAUGCUCAAACUCCGAUAAGUAAAUCCACACAUGUAUGAGAAAAUUAAAACCAAAUAGGUUAAAGACCUAGAGCGCUAUGUGAGAUAAUAACUCUUUCUGUUGGAAAAAUGCAAGACAUGAUUUAGGCUAUUUUUGCAAAAUGACUUAUUUGGCCAAAAGAUGGCUAGAAGUACAAAAUUUGGCUAAGACUCGGCAAAUCCAAGAACCUAAGAUUUACUAGGAAGACUGGACCCUAUGUGGGUUGCCUACGUAUCCCGCCCCGAAAGACGAGAAUCAGGUAUGUGUAGUUCGGUCAGAUUUGAUACGGGCGAGAAUUAAAAGAAAAAUAACUAAUUCAACGAAAAUAUGUUUUUAUUUUGAAAAAUGAUGAAACAUAUAAACUCUUUUUGGAUUUUUUUUCCUUUUUUUUUUUGAAUUUUCAACCUCUUUUGUUUCCUUAACAAAAAUGUGACAGAAAACAUAAUUGGGCCCCACUCACUUUAUUUCAUACUUCACACUCUUUUUUUUUUCAUUUGCCCUCAACUAUCUUUGGUCCGCCAAAUUACCCUUUCUACCCUUGCAAAAAUGCAACAUGUAGCACAUAAGAUGCAUCAAUAUGGUCUUUUAUUUUUGGAUACACCUGUCUUAGACGGACCCAACCCCUGUGUUGAGUCCCCAAAGCCAAAUGCAUAUGAUGCAAACAAGCGUCCUACUAGGGAUCCGACAUGAGGCUGAGUUAUUCUAGGUUCAAAACCUGGGCAUACUGUUCUAUACUUGUGCACCCGAGCGGACAACUCGAGCCGAGGAAGGGGCUACGUAUCGGGAACCAAAAGGCCAUCCGGCUCAGUAACUUAUCCGAGCCUCUUUCUUAUUUCAAGGUAUGUCACUAACAGAAUAGGGAGUCACGACCAGCAUGUACAUCCCCGAAAAUGAGAAGAGAAGGGUUUCGUAGCAGUUUAUAUACAGUUCAGAUAAUAUCAAAACGGUAAAAGCAUCAUUUAACACAUUAGGCCCAAGCAUGUAAUAAAAUCAGAUAACAGAUAAAGCCAAAUACAACAAUUCAUCUAAGCUCGAAUUCUGAACCCUGAACCAGAUAUUCUGGGUUCUUAUCCCCAGCAGAGUCGCCAGAGCUGUCACACCUCCGUUUUACCUACACCUCUGUAAAGGGGUAUAUAAGGGAGUUUUUUCCAACUUAAAGUGACAAUCGAAACGGGAUUAUUUAUUUAUUUAUUAAAUUCAGAGUCGCCACUUGGGAUAGUUUUAGGGUGUCCCAAGUCACCGGUUCAAAUCCCGAAUCGAGGAAAAGAUUGACUCUGUUUUACAAUCUGCAAACACAAAAAUUUGGGUAAAAGAAUUCUAUUAACCCGAGAGAAGGUGUUAGGCAUUCCCGAAUUCCGUGGUUCUAGCACGGUCGCUCAACUGUUAUAAUUGGCCUAUUAUCUGAUUUUAACACAUGUUUUAACUUAUGGUUCAAUUUUAAACUUUAUAACCGCUUUAAUUAUUUUUAAGAAAAAUUUCAACGUUAUCUAAAACACAUCUUGAACCACGUCACAUAAAUACACCUNNNNNNNNNNNNNNNNNNNNNNNNNUUAAAUAGCGCGCCUAAAGCAGCUACGCACUUCAUGAACUAUUUUUCCUUAAACGACUUUGAGAUUAUAGUAAAGGCCAUAGGUUAUGAAAAUUUUGUAUAAAAAUAUAAAUUAGAGAUAUCUGCAACUUAUCAGAUUGUUGGCAAUCUCUAUCAAGAAAUCGUUCAACAUUUGGGUUUAAUAAUAGGGACAAUGUUUGGGUAUUCAAUGUUUAAUUCCUAAGUGACAAAAUUGAUUCUCCUAUGAGCCAAUAUCAGCCCUCAGUGAGGGUUAACCCUUUAACUACUCAAUGGCUCAUUUAAAACCCAAUCACGACCUCAACGCCUUAAAAGUCCAUUUUAAAUUCAUCUUUUACCUUCUUUAAUAUUAAAACACAUGGACCCAAAAAUUCUUCUAAGUUCUAUUCAUCAAACCUCAAGGCUCUCUGCAGAUUUCUUUUGAAAAAAAAACUAAACUUCUUUUAAAAAAGAUUUAUUAACCGUACUCUACAAUUAUCGUAGAGAAAGCAAUGAACCAAUCGACACUUUAUCAAGCAAAAAUAGUGAACAAGAUGCAAAUCACUCCAAAAUUGCAACAAAAAGAAACAUAAUGUGAAUCUAUAAUGAAUAGUGAAGGGAAUAACCUUAAUUGUCUUUUAUUUCUGAAACUCAAAUUUGCGCAGAGGGUCUUACAUUUGAACAGAGCUUGGAGCAAAAAUGUUUAAACUCAAAACCAACAUACAGAGAAAUUGAUUCCAACGAACAGAGACCGGAAACCAAUCGUCGAACUCAAAUAGGACCUCGCCGGCGACCUCGAAACCUGCCGAAAAACUUGAAUCCCCACAACAACAAAAACUAGAAGAAAGAAGCUAUUUAUAACGGGGUUUGGCAGUUAUUUGGAGCCGAUUUCAAGAUCGAUUUCAACUGGGUUUUGCGACUGAUAUUGCUGCUUUUAGGACUGUUUCUCGGGAGAUUUUGGGGUUAAAUGGCUGCUUCUUUGGCUGAAUUUUGUUACUUUAUUUUUCAGCUGCAUUUAAGAGGUGCGUUGCAACUGUUUUGGGCUGGUUUUUGUGGGAAAUGGUGGUGCGAUGAGUGGAAAUUUUGUAGUGUUAAAACUGGAGAAGAGAGUUGAAAGUCUAUGAAUUUUCUCCUAUAGAAACGGGAAUUCCAAUUGAGGAAGAAGGCUGCCCGUUUGUUUUUCUCGUCACUCUCUAUUUCAGUCCUUUUUUCCAGAUCUUUUCUCUCUUUCUUCUCCCUUUUU